rnacentral:rRNA from 1 species
UACACGCUGUGACUAGCAUAUCAAUAAGCGGAGGAAAAGAAACUAACAAGGAUUCCCUCAGUAACGGCGAGUGAAGCGGGAAGAGCUCAAAUUUGAAAUCUUGAAAGGUCACCUUUCACGAAUUGUAGUUUAAAGAAGUGUUUUCUGUUACGAUCGUAAUAUAAGUUCUUUGGAAUAGGACAUCACAGAGGGUGAGAAUCCCGUCCAUGAUUGCGAUUUGUAGCUUUGUGAUACACUUUCAAAGAGUCGGGUUGUUUGGGAAUGCAGCCCAAAACGGGAGGUAAAUUUCUUCUAAGGCUAAAUAUUGGCGAGAGACCGAUAGCGAACAAGUACCGUGAGGAAAGAUGAAAAGAACUUUGAAAAGAGAGUUAAAUAGUACGUGAAAUUGUCAAAAGGGAAGCGUUUAACACCAGUGUUGUUUUCUGAAAAUCAACCUCUGUUAGCUUUAUGCAUGUUUGUUUAGACCUAAUCAGCUAUCUUGCAUGUUCUAUUGUUUGCAGUGGUGCACUUUUCAGUUUACAGGUCAACAUCAGUUUUUUUUACCGUAAAAAAGUUAAAGAAAGGUAGCUCAUGGCUCCGGUCGUGAGUGUUAUAGUCUUUUCCUAUGCGGUAGGAGAGACUGAGGUCUGCAGUGUAGGCUAUUUGGCUAGAUACUCAGGUGCUAUGUGAUACCAUUUCAUAAACAACUUGUUGAUUAUGUUUUGUCUAUUGCAUACUCGCUUGUACUAUCAUACCUACGCUUAGGAUGUUGAACUACUGAGACAUAGA